rnacentral:lncRNA from 1 species
GAAACUUGAGGCUAGGCUGACCCCAUGGUUGUUAUGAUUAGAAAUCCGAGGCCACUGGAAACCCGGAGCUGCUGACCAACGAGUCACAGGGUAACUUCGCCUUCGCAUGGGGAAACGGGCUGGUGCAGUGGUGUCAUCUUGGCUCAGUGCAGCCUCGACUUCCUGGGAUCCAGCGAUCCUCCCGCUUCAGCCUCUAGAGUAGCCGAGACCACAGGAUUUGGAAGAGGGCAGGAGAGAAAAAUGAACUGCAAGACUCCAGCACAAGAGGUGGGAUUGCUGGCAGAUGUCUGCUCCCUCUCCAAACCUAAUGAACAUCUCAAAGUGCCAUCCACUUUCCUAUACCCUUGAUCUGUGAAAUGGAUCACUGACGCUUUCUCUGUCUUUCCGGAAAUGCAAAACAGG